UUGUCUUAACAGCACAUUCUUCCUGAGUCAUCUCCCCCACCCCAGUAUGUCUCUACAUCUGUGGCAGAUUUCUGCUUGUCACAGGGACACCAUCAUUAUGUAUUAGGACUUGUCCACCCUUGUGAUAGUGUUUUUGGCUUUACUCUUUUUCAGUGAGCUCUAUUUGAUAUCAUGUAGCUUAGAGCUCGAACAUAUCUUUUAUAGGGGCCAUGCAAUUCAACGAUGAUAUUUGAAUGAAUUUAAAAAGGGAGAUGUCUGGAUGUCCAGAAAAGAAUGCCUCAAAGAGACAACAGCCACAAAGGACAAAACAAGAUGCAGCAAGACAAAGCAGAAGGCCUCAUAUAAAGGCCGGGCAAGGCAACUCAAUAGGAGGAAAAGUCUCAAGAGCAGGCAGAGAGUCAGCGAUACAUACCCUACCAUUGUUAGGAGUCUCACAAAAACUCCAAGGGAAGAAUUUUUGAGAAAUACUUUGCAACCACAUAAUGAAAUAAAGAAGAAAAUGCAUUUCUUUCUAAGGA